rnacentral:rRNA from 1 species
AUUGAACGCUGGCGGCAGGCUUAACACAUGCAAGUCGAGCGGGGGAAGGUAGCUUGCUACCGGACCUAGCGGCGGACGGGUGAGUAAUGCUUAGGAAUCUGCCUAUUAGUGGGGGACAACAUCUCGAAAGGGAUGCUAAUACCGCAUACGUCCUACGGGAGAAAGCAGGGGAUCUUCGGACCUUGCGCUAAUAGAUGAGCCUAAGUCGGAUUAGCUAGUUGGUGGGGUAAAGGCCUACCAAGGCGACGAUCUGUAGCGGGUCUGAGAGGAUGAUCCGCCACACUGGGACUGAGACACGGCCCAGACUCCUACGGGAGGCAGCAGUGGGGAAUAUUGGACAAUGGGGGGAACCCUGAUCCAGCCAUGCCGCGUGUGUGAAGAAGGCCUUAUGGUUGUAAAGCACUUUAAGCGAGGAGGAGGCUACUUUAGUUAAUACCUAGAGAUAGUGGACGUUACUCGCAGAAUAAGCACCGGCUAACUCUGUGCCAGCAGCCGCGGUAAUACAGAGGGUGCGAGCGUUAAUCGGAUUUACUGGGCGUAAAGCGUGCGUAGGCGGCUUAUUAAGUCGGAUGUGAAAUCCCCGAGCUUAACUUGGGAAUUGCAUUCGAUACUGGUGAGCUAGAGUAUGGGAGAGGAUGGUAGAAUUCCAGGUGUAGCGGUGAAAUGCGUAGAGAUCUGGAGGAAUACCGAUGGCGAAAGCAGCCAUCUGGCCUAAUACUGACGCUGAGGUACGAAAGCAUGGGGAGCAAACAGGAUUAGAUACCCUGGUAGUCCAUGCCGUAAACGAUGUCUACUAG